UACAGAGGUCUCAAGCGUUGUUCGGAUUCAUUGGGCGUAAAGGGUGCGUAGGUGGCAUGGUAAGUCGGAUGUGAAAUCCCGGGGCUCAACCCCGGAACUGCAUUCGAUACUGCUGCGCUAGAGUACUGGAGAGGAGAUUGGAAUUUACGGUGUAGCAGUGAAAUGCGUAGAUAUCGGGAGGAACAUCAGUUGCGAAGGCGGCUCUCUGGACCAGCACUGACACUGAGGCACGAAAGCGUGGGGAGCAAACAGG
rnacentral:rRNA from 1 species